rnacentral:rRNA from 1 species
UGCCAGCAGCCGCGGUAAUACGGAGGGGGCGAGCGUUAUUCGGAAUCACUGGGCGUAAAGCGACCGCAGGCGGCUUGACAAGUUAGAAGUGAAAUCCCGGAGCUCAACUCCGGAACUGCUUUUAAAACUGUCUCGCUUGAGUCCGAGAGAGGUAAGGAGAAUUCCUAGUGUAGAGGUGAAAUUCGUAGAUAUUAGGAGGAAUACCAGUGGCGUAGGCGCCUUACUGGCUCGGUACUGACGCUCAUGGUCGAAAGCGUGGGGAGCAAACAGGAUUAGAUA